CAAGGCAUACGGCUCAGUAACGCGUAGUCAACCUAACCUAUGGACGGGAAUAACCUCGGGAAACUGAGAAUAAUGCCCGAUAGAACACUAUACCUGGAAUGGUUUGUGUUCCAAAUGAUUUAUCGCCGUAGGAUGGGACUGCGGCCUAUCAGUUUGUUGGUGAGGUAAUGGCCCACCAAGACUAUUACAGGUACGGGCUCUGAGAGGAGUAGCCCGGAGAUGGGUACUGAGACACGGACCCAGGCCCUAUGGGGCGCAGCAGGCGAGAAAACUUUGCAAUGUGCGAAAGCA
rnacentral:rRNA from 1 species